UUUAUUCGAGAUUGUAUUCGUGCAAGACUAGAAACUGUUUUCAUCCCACCUCUAGUUGGGUGCUUACUUCUCGUGAGUUCUGCAAACUAAUCCAAUAGUGUGUGAAUGUGUAAGAAAUGUCUCAUCUCACUGCUAGGUGGAUUAAAUCGGUUUUUUUUUAAAUAUUUCAAUAAAGUAAUCAUUAGAUCAAUAAUGAUAGUGGAGAUGAUAGUGCUUUCAUUAAUUUCGAGAUCGGUAAUUCUUGUGAACUUCUCCCACUGUUUUCACAAAUCGGGAUUCACCGGAAAAUGGUGAAAAGUCAUCUCCGGAUUUUUCGCUUUACUUUUUAUUUACGCAAUUUUUGACCUUGCACUCCAUGAUAAUGGAUUCACAAAAAAAAUUGAAAGUUCAAUUCUUGUUUGUUCUUUAAAAAAGUCAUGUCAUUUCUUGAACUACACCAAGUAUUAGUGUGUGUCAAUCGAAGAAGUAAGAUAUAACAAACAAAAAGAAAGAAUAAGAAAACAUGAAUCCGCAGGCCCCGUCCCAGGUUUUGACGUAGAUGAAUCCCAAAACAGUGUUGCUGAAUAUACCGAUUUAUCGAUAUUUAAACCGAUUUUUAAUUUCAAUGCCAAUAAAGUUACUAAAAAUACCGAUUUCUUUUUUCUUACCAAAAAAUAACGAUUUCCAUAUAAUAAGAUCAAUUAAUAUUACGUAUGGGCCUUUUUAGAAAAUGGCUUCACCUUUACGCAUCAAACCAUCCGGAAAUUGAUUCAGUAAUCUGCCAGGUUGCUAUCAAAAUUUCAAAUGAAGCUCAACAACCGAUUCUGAAAUCGAUUGAGCUCGGUAGGUUUGAUUACAUAACAUUAGAAUGAUCUAUAAUUUAAAACCAAUAAUUUGCAGGUAACUUUUGGUUAGCAUACAUCUUCACACCGAUAAAUACCUAUUUUUUUAUUUAGAACUGUACCGAUAUUAGAUUUGUUCCAGUACCAGUAGAAAGUGGAAGUACUCCGGAGCAAACAGAGAGAAAAUCGUUCCUAUGUUCUCUUCUCUAUUUUCUUCUUCCGUUAGCAAACCGGAGUAACAAGCAAGAAUUUUUUGCUUCUGUUUGCUCCGGAGCAACUUCUGUGUACUAGAACAAACCUAUUAUACAAAACCAUCUGACAACGCUGCUCUAAAGCUAGGAUAGGAUCCGCCAGCUCUGUCCCCUGUUUUUGAACCAAUUCUGAACCAGCUCGUGAUUGGACGAAAGUGACAUAGACAAACGUUCGGCUUGGAUACUAAAAGUACUAAAGGGCUGCUUGGAAGUGUUGUCGUAUUGUGAUAUAAAACGUAAAACGACGAUUGUUUACUGUGUUGUUUUUUUUGUUUUCUCGAGAUACCGCUUUCUUUCAAUAACGUUCGUCUGUAAUUAUGAAGUGCAAGGCAUUUUCUGGCAGACGAAUUCAAACAUAUUAUCCUAAACUGAAGUUCUACAGGUUUCCGAGAGAUCCGGUAGCGCGGUGUGCGGAUUAAUGCGGAAAUGUCUCUUUUCGAAGUCUAACCGAGUAACUGACUAUUUAGCCUAAGUAUGAAAAUAUUUUCAACUUCAUUGUCUUCGUUCCAGCGCCGAGUAAAUUGGGAGUAUUGUCUAUCGCGAGAUAAUAUAGCAUUUCGUCGAGUUGUUGCUAUAUGGGAUACACACGUGUGCGGUCGAAACAAAAACAAACGUCAAAAUGUUUUCUCACUUGCACUGAUGCAAACUAGAUGGGCGCGUAAUUCAACGCACGGCCCGGUGGCGCAUGGCUGAAAAGUCGCAAUGUGGAUUUAAGAAAAGAUUCGCAGUACUUUGGAGCAAACCGUGAGAAAGUUAUCCCGGAAAUCGCUUCUUGUUCUUCUUUUAGUAUUAUCGAUUCAGUUGAAUUUUACAGUUUUCAACUGCAUCAAUCAUCGGUGUAAAUAGGAGCGUGUUAUUUUCUACUGCUGUUUUUUCCGAAAAAAUCACAUGAAGUACUGGAACAAACCUAUACACCUAUACAAACUAAACAAAAAUUAAGCCUUGCAAAAAAGUAGUUUUUGAAUAUUUAAAAACUAAAUGCGAACAGAGAAGAUUGAUCUUGUGAAUGAGGUUGCUCGACUCAGAAAGCAACUUACAAAAAUGAAGAGCAUGGAAAUAUUUUUCGUAAUGGCCAACAACAAAUAUAUAUUAUUUUGCUUUGCUGUAUUCCGAUGGAAAACCUGUAAUGAUCAUUUAAAUUCGGAUAUAAAGACUAAAUCAUUGAUUUUUCCCGGAGCGUGAAAUUGAUACAUAAUAUAGAAUAUUUUAAUCAGAACAAUUUAAGUUUUGGACACGACUGUAACAAAACAAAUAUUUUGGCAACAUUGGUCCAGUGGGGGUAUGUCGUUUUCAGCAGGGAUUGGCAAAAUAUAAGAAGAAGCCAGCUGGCGGAUCCUAUCCUAGCUCAAAAGUGAAAAGUGCUCUUCAAACAUCGAUGACAUCUUUUUUGUUUUUUUUUCUGUUUUCUCUACCUAUCUUAUGUGUAUUUCAUCCUGCCAAGGAAUUCAAACUGAAAAAAAGAAAAAAAAACUACAGUUUAACUUCACCAGGCACAAUCAUCAGAAUGAGAUGCAGAAAAAUAUUAACCCAGAAUGGUUUCAUUUUACCGUCCAGUAUGAAAAACAUUUCAAAAAUGAUAAUUAUGUAUGCCAAAAAGGUUUUGUGCGGAUCUGCGAAUUAGGUUUUUGUAGAAUAAUUCGACCAAGGGCUAUGAUGUAGCAGCGGUGGAGAGUAAGUCCAAUCAUACGGUUUCAUCCCACCCCGGGAGCAGAUGUGCGCUGGCGAAUGUUCUCAGCCACCUGGAGGAGGAAGUUCAGCGCGGAAGAAAUGUUACCAGACUUCGACGAUCUGGUAUCUGGACUUUUUUGAUAAUCUCAUAGAGAUUGGGUGUGCAGAUGGGCGGUUAAAGUUCGGGGAGGGAACGACUGGUAAAUUUAAGGAUAUAUAUGAAGCUAAAAACACCCACAACAAUGGGGUAACUAACAUAAAGCUAACCGGUGACAAAGUAAUAGUCGCACGGUUAAGUGAACGAAUCGAUUUUCUAAGACUGGAAACGUACACGUAAGGCUGUCAGAUCGAUUGGGGAUUUACGUCUGCAUAUGGGCGAACCCACGUACGCACCGGUUCGGCAGGAAGCAUUAGUUUACUUCAGCAAUCCGCCGGCUCAAAUCCGUCCACAGCGUUGCCAGCUCAACAUCACGCAUCCGAGGAGGAGCUUCGAUGUAUCCUGGAGUUUCACCAGCAGGGUCACCGGUGACAUGUUUGGAAGUGGCGGGCGGUACAGUCAUUACUGGCAGCCAGGACCACACUGUUGAAGUGUUCCGGCUCGAUAGCCACCUAUUGCAGUUCACCCUAAACGGCCAUUGCGGUCCUAUCACAUGUAUUUUCAUAGACCAGUGGCAGGCCGAGAUGAGCGCAUCUGGUUGCCAGGAUGGUGUGCUAUGUGUGUGGGACUUGAUACGGUGUGCCUGUAUGUACAAAAUUGAAGCCCAUGACGACUCAAUCGUCCCACUUGCCUGUUCCCCGAGUUACACAAUAUCGCUCGGACUGAACGAACGAAUACGGUUCUGGGAUAGAUUUCAGGGUCAGCCGCUCAACACCAUGACCGUCAGUCAUGCAUAUUCAUCGCUUGUGAUGCUGACGCCGUCCCCUGACUCGUGACUGGAAAGCCAGCCCGAAUAGAAAUGCACAACAGUAUUACAGCAUUUUUUAUUGUUAUAUUACAACGAAAAACAAUGUUAUUCUGGAAAAUUUGCAAUGGAAAUAUAAUAUUUGUUGUUUCUACAUCCAAUUUCAUUGUAAACUCGAUUUUUACAUGGAAAAGGGGGGGGGGGGGUCGUUAAGGGAUGUAAAAAUUGAUCUUUUCCCAUACAUUCUGAAAUCAAAAACAUCGAUUUACAUUGUUUUUCCGUUGUAGAUUUUGGAGGCAUGAAGGACUGCAUCAUAAGUAUAUUGAUGUUACAACACAUGUUGUUGUUAACAAAUAAAACUGUUGUAAAUUCAAUCUGUCUACGAUCGAUUUCGAUAUUACUUUCUGUUCGGGAGCUUAGUCGAAGAUAACUUUCGUAGACAAAUAUUCAAUCUAGUCUCAUCACAUUUAGGUUCACUAGUUGUAUGGGACGACAAUACUGGAGAUGUAGCUCGGGAAGUCAGGCUUGACUGUUCCAAUUCACAGCUAAGUCCGAAGAUUAUGCUACCUACCAGUGGUUUGGUAAUUUGAGACUACGGAAAUCAAAUGAGAAUCGUUCGUUUCCCACUUGUGGCGGCGGAAAAGUGGUUCGGUCCGGGGAAUCGUAAUCGACCAGCUAACGAAAACAAAUGUACAUCAGUAGCCUCUGAACGAAGCCAUUGCUAGCACGAGUUUUUGAUUUGGAAGGAUAAUUACUGAGGACCAUUCUCACAAUAGUAUAAAAGUUCUAACCUCAAAAACAGACAACAAUAACAUGUAUUUCUUUCAGAGUUGAUAAUAUCUAUUACAUGAUCAAAUGCGUUGAUGGGUUAGGCUUUGGAUUCGGCUAUAUUCCAUCGUCAUUGAAGCUAGAUCAUAGAAUCAUGUUAAUUUGACAGACUGCUAGUGUUAUUAGUAGCACUGAGAACUGACAUACAAGUAAAGUUUGCAACUUGUGUAAGAAAUAAAACUGUCGCUUUGAAAUGACAACAGCAAGUAGCAACUUGCCACUGGCUGGCGCUCCGAUCGGCCAGCAGUCGCUAUACGGGACUUGUGUGCGAACUUGGAUACAAUGGUGAUUCACGCAUACGAACCUGUAUGCGAUGGUGAUUUUCAACGUAUUUUUAUUUAAAUGUUUACACAGGUAUUUCAGGAAAGUUUGUUCUAGUUUAUAUGUCUGUUCUCUGUGUUAGUAGCACAAACAGCUAGCAGCCAAGUUAGUAUUGUUCUUUCUGCUUGCAACCAACCUGGUUAUAUUGAUGUCAAUGCUAAAUUUGCUGUUACAGCUGUAUGGUCGCUAUACUGCCCCAUGUGUUGUGGGAUUCGCUAUUAACAUGGGACAGUUAUGCUUAGAGCACCAGAUUCGAAAAGCGACCAAUUUUGGCCAAUCACUGGAGACAAAAUCACGCGUAACAAUUAAUAAUAAAUUAAGUUGUUGCUGAGUAAUUUUUGUUGUACAUGAAUAAAACAUACCGAUUUCCUCGUUAGCUAUGGCUAAAUAACCAUUAGGAAGGUUAUGAGUUUAUUGUUAUCGCAUUUAUAAUCGUUUAUAAUACUUUCGAGUGAUCGAUUUUAAAGAUACGACUCGCACUUUAACCACCCCUUCACCGCGCCAUCAAAAUAAAAAUAAGUCAUACUCCUAAUGAACUAAUAUUUAUUAAAACAUUUACCAAAUAAAAACAUAGACCUGAUAGUUCGUUUUCAAAAAACACCGAAGCACAGUGAGUUGGUGUCAAUGCUCUAUCUUUGAUCCUAGUGCUGCAGGAUUGGGCCAACAUUUAUACUAUUUUUAUUCUAUCAACUUCAAGGAAAAAGUAUCACGUGAACGCUAUGUACAUAUAUGGACUUCUAAAUUUGGUAAUUAUUCCGAAUCACACUCGGCCUGGCCUUGGGUACAAGAUAACUGCUUGAUCUCCCACGAGCAUGGUCCUGCCGGAGUGUCUGCCUCGCCCGAUACCGGGGCAGCCUGUCCUAGCGAGGCUGCCUCUUGUGAAUCGGAACCGCUGAACAUUCCGAUGAGGGCAUGUCCAAUGGUGUUACUGACAGAGCCGAUCGCUACACUGCCAACAAAUAAAAUAGCUUUCUUCAACGAAUCGUGGACAAGAAAAAUCCAAAUGCCAAAUUUAACGGAACAUUGCCUAAUGACGUCAAAUAAAAAUGAAAGCCUAGCGAACUUGUCAAUACAAGAUAUUCGCAUUUAAAAGUGAACCAAAUCAAGUUUCUCAUACUGUGGUCGAAUAAAAAAAAAAUCCAAGUCUAUGUAAACAAGCUCUGCGAAAUGUCAUAAAAGUGAGGCUAAACAUUUUCAUCCAAUGUUCUACAGCGAGAGCUUCAUUUUAGUUUUUUUACAUUGCUGAUGAAUUUUGUACUGCGAUUCACCACUUCAUUUACCGCGUUGCCAAGAACUUAAGUGAAAAUAUUCAAAGCAGUGCUGCCUAAACGCACAUUUUAAGUCCCACCAUUCUUGCUGAGGUGAAAAAAAUAUUCAACAUUCUUGCAUAUUUCAAAUUUUACAAAAUCAUUAAAAAAUCAUGAUAGCUCCUAAAAAUCUCAUUUUUACGGAAAUGUUGUUAUAAAUGUGUAAUCUUUCGAUUAAAAAUAGGAAAAACAGGUGUUAGGUCGGACGAGAAAGGUCUAUUGUGUGUUCUAUUGCAGCUGCUACGCUCCACCAAGGUGGCCCAUAGAACAGUUCAACCAGAUGAUCGACAGGCUCUCGUCAGACCUAGUAGGCCGGAAACCGGUAGUCAUAGCGGGAGACUUUAACGCUUGGGCAGUGGAGUAAGGUAGCCGCUGUACAAAUAGCAAGGGCCAAGCGCUAAUGGAGGCGCUUGCGAAACUCGAUACUGUACUAGCUAGCAAUGGCUCCGCUAGUACAUUCCGUAGAAACAAGGUGGAGGCGUGGAUUGGCGUAACUUUUGCCAGCCCGAGUCUGGUUCCAGGCAUGGAAUGGAAGGUAGACGAAGGCUAUACCCAUAGCGAUCAUUUAUCAAUCCGUUUUUGGAUCCAUUAUGGUGUGCAGCAUCCGAGGGCGGAAGAUCCCUGUCAGGUACGCUAGUGGAAGUCCAAUCACUUUGACAGCGAAGCUUUCACCGCGGUCCUGGGACUGGAGGCCAACACCUACAGUCUAAGCGGGGAUGCGCUGGUAGCUGUUCUAUCACGCGCGUGCGAUGCCACUAUGCCGAGAAAAACCCUGCCAAGAAACGGCAGAUGCCCGGUAUACUGGUGGAGUGCCGAGAUUGCAGCUCUACGGUCAGCCUGCCUCAGAGCUAGACG